UUUCUUACAUCAAUCAGCUCACUGAACCACAGCAGGCACCCACUUCCUCCAUCCCUGGUAUCCAAGUUUGCAAAAGCUGUGCAGGAGCAGUUCUUCAUGCACAACAUCUCACAUUCCUUGAGUUCCAUACUUCUUUUAAACCCAGAUACAUCAUUUGCAGAAGAUCCAUCAUUUGCAGUCUGUUUUGUUCACUCUUAAGAGACUCAUUGGCUACUGAUGAGAGGCUUAAUGCUCUAGAAGAAGAGGUACGGCUUCUGUGGGCUGCAUCAAGAAAGUACAACUUCGAUCUUCAUGUUUUAGAGUCUAAAGCACAAGAUGCCGAGGAUAGACUCGAAACGGUUGCCUCUCAGGCUCAA